GCCUAGAAUCCCCACAGACCUUCCUAGAUGAUACAAGACCUAGGCGAUGCUGUUUUCUGGGCUCCUUAACUUUCGAAAUAGUUACUGUUUCCCAUUUUGGGUAACAUUAUGAACUAUUUCCAUAUUCCUCUUAAAAUACUAUUUUUAUGUAGCAAGUCAUUUCAGAUAACAGUCUAAUUUAAAAUUUUUCUUUGGCUUGUAAGCCCCCAACCCACCAGAAUUUAUAUGUUCAGACCCUCCGAGCCCUGAACUUGCUUUUACAGUUUCCCCCUUAAACGUUUUGUGUAUGAAGUGCUGCUUUGGAUCCAAGAGCCGAGUUGCUCACACUGUACCGAAUCAUGUUGCUUCUGUCAGUGCACAGACAUGCUAUCAUGUCAGCCAGUAUUGAAUGUCAUUUGAUUGUGUAUUUUUUUAAGUCAAUCCAGCGCAUAGAACGGACAUUGUUUAAAAGCUCUGAAUGCUGGGAUUGGGUUUUUAACCCCUGAUUUUAUUCUGAACAAUUUCUAAAGAAAGAAAAGUUGAAAGAAUACAGUGACUGCAUGUAUAUCUACUACUAGGCUCCUACAACCACUCUUUGGCCAUAUUUGCUCUCUAGAGCCACACGUGUAUGAAAUACAGAUAUGCACAUAUAUAUGAGUGUAUGUUUGAUUUUAUUAUUAACCUUUGAGAUGUUAAGAUACAUAUACCCUAAAUACUUCAACAUCCCCUAAAAAUAGUGAUAAUGUCCUUUUAAAAAAAAUCUCCUGAAUCCAUUAUAAAAUCAAUAAUUUCCAGAUAGUGCCUGGUCUCCAGAUUUAACUGUAACUGCCCAGAAUCCCAUUAAAGUUACAGCCUGAUUUCAUUUGUAGUUCUUUGAUCAGGUUAAUAACACUCUUUUGAAAAGAUGUAGAAGAAAUCCUUUCUUCAAAAUGGUCAAACUUAUUCCAGGUUUUAAUUAAGAAAAGUGAGUGGCUAAAGAAGUUUGAUCUUUCUUCAAUCUCUGACUUUUAUGCCUCCUCUUUCAGUGAUAGCAUAGCGUAAUAGGUGUAAGUGGAGAUUUAAAGUCACAAAAGUCAGCUGGUAUUGUAUGAGCUAAUAAUUCAUGUCAUAUUGACUGUAUUUCGUUUCUUUUAAGUUUAAGAAAUUGGUCAGAGGCUCCAGCUCAUUGGAAAGGCUGAGUGAAAGGCAUUGUGAAAAUAGGUUUCCUUUAAACAUUAAUCACUGACACCCCCCCCCCCCCGCCAUGUAAGAGAGACCCCUCCCCC
rnacentral:lncRNA from 1 species